CAGCCGCCGCGGUAAUACCAGCUUCUCGAGUGGUGGGGGCGAUUAUUGGGCCUAAAGCGUCCGUAGCCCGCUUGUUAAGUCCUCCGUUAAAUCCGGCGAUUCAAUCGCUGGACCGCGGAGGAUACUGGUAAGCUAGGGGGCGGAAGAGGCUGGCGGUAUUCUUAGGGUAGGGGCGAAAUCCUAUAAUCCUAGGAGGACCACCAGUGGCGAAGGCGGCCAGCUAGAACGCGCCCGACGGUGAGGGACGAAAGCUGGGGGAGCAAACCGGAUUAGAUACCCGGGUAGUCCCAGCUGUAAACGAUGCAGACUAGGUGUUGGAACGGCUACGUGCCGCUUCAGUGCCGCAGAGAAGUCAUUAAGCCUGCCGCCUGGGGAGUACGGCCGCAAGGCUGAAACUUAAAGGAAUUGGCGGGGGAGCAC
rnacentral:rRNA from 1 species